UGAGGAAUAUUGGUCAAUGGGCGGGAGCCUGAACCAGCCAAGCCGCGUGAGGGAAGAAGGCCCUAUGGGUCGUAAACCUCUUUGUCAGGGAACAAAAGCGAGUAUGUAUACUGGUCUGAGUGUACCUGAAGAAAAACGCAUCGGCUAACUCCGUGCCAGCAGCCGCGGUAAUACGGAGGAUGCGAGCGUUAUCCGGAUUUAUUGGGUUUAAAGGGUGCGUAGGCGGCGGUGCAAGUCAGCGGUAAAAGCCCGGGGCUCAACCCGGCGAGCCGUUGAAACUGCAGUGCUAGAGAAGGCGAGAGGUACGCGGAAUGCGCAGUGUAGCGGUGAAAUGCUUAGAUAUUGCGCAGAACUCCGAUUGCGAAGGCAGCGUACUGGCGCCUGACUGACGCUGAGGCACGAAAGCGUGGGGAUCGAACAGGAUUAGAUACC
rnacentral:rRNA from 1 species